rnacentral:tRNA from 1 species
AAACCUCACCACCAACACCCAAAGCUGGGAAUUCUACAUAAACUAUUCCUUG